GAGAUUUUGAGUGCCGGUUGAUUCCGAUUUUCUUCACCUCCGGGAACUGAUGUUGAUGCCACUCAACAACUCGCAGCAGGUAUUGGUGCUGCUGUUCAUCCUUCAUUAGAAUCUGAUUGUAAUCCUGGGUAAGUGCAACUCUUCGCU